rnacentral:rRNA from 1 species
CGGUCGGUAGGGACUGCGGAG